rnacentral:rRNA from 1 species
AGCGAACGCUGGCGGCAUGCCUAACACAUGCAAGUCGCACGGUCGGGGGGUGACCUUCGGCAGUGGCGGACGGGUGAGUAACGCGUAGGGAUCUAUCCUUGGAUGGGGGACAACCGCGGGAAACCGCGGCUAAUACCGCAUGAUGCCUGAGGGCCAAAGCUCGCGAGAGCGUCUGGGGAGAGCCUGCGUCCGAUUAGCUUGUGGUGGGGUAACGCCACCAAGGCGUCGAUCGGUAGCUGGUCUGAGAGGAUGAUCAGCCACACUGGGACUGAGACACGGCCCAGACUCCUACGGGAGGCAGCAGUGGGGAAUAUUGGACAAUGGGCGCAAGCCUGAUCCAGCAAUG